UCUAGACACGUCAGAGUUUGUAGUCCUGGCUCAGGAUGAACGACUAGCUACAGGCUUAACACAUGCAAGUCGAGGGCGAGCAUGGGCUUAGCUUGCUAAGCCCGAUGGCGACCGGCGCACGGUGAGUAACACGUAUCCAACCUUCCGGUAACUCCGGUAUAGCCUUUCGAAAGAAAGAUUAAUCCCGGAUAGUAUGGUGAUUCCGCAUGGUUUCUCCAUUAAAGGAUUCCGGUUACCGAUGGGGAUGCGUUCCAUUAGGCAGUUGGCGGGGUAACGGCCCACCAAACCUACGAUGGAUAGGGGUUCUGAGAGGAAGGUCCCCCACAUUGGAACUGAGACACGGUCCAA
rnacentral:rRNA from 1 species